rnacentral:lncRNA from 1 species
GCCUUUCAAAUUUAAACAAAGCCAUGUCUGUGACCGUGGUUUGGAGUUAUCUAUUAGAGUCUGGUGGGCUCAUUACAGGGUACAAAACUGGAGGCAAUGUGCCCCUCCCACCAAGAAAUGGACAAUCUUCUAUUAGUGAAGCAUGGAGUCUCUCCCCACUUUGGUGAGUAACGAGACAGAAAUGUUUUUUUUUUUAACUGUUGUGGGCACAUAUGGCAAAUUAUUUUUCAGAACUGUCUUACUAUUUUGCAGGGACACCAUCAUGCUUAGAGGGCCAUUUUCUCUUAUUCUUGCUAAUGGUGAAGUACUUAAAAACAAAACCAACCAGUCAAACAGACCCUUAAGGCAUUAAAGAAGAAUGGCUUGAGAUGACACCCUUUGAACUCUGGGAAGAUGAGUGAGACCAUCUUGAGACUGGGCUAUAAGGGACUGUUACUGCCACAGCCUGUUGAGAAGAUCACAGAGCUCUGAGGAAGAACGAAUCUGGCAGUAAAAUAAAGAUGAAGGUUGCAGCAGCCUCAAAGAUCUCUUAGAUCCACACCUAAUCCUCAGAAACUUGUUCUGGGGAAGGAGAGCUUGGACAAGAGAGAGAAGGAUCCAUCAGAUCCAUCGGAACUUUAGCCUUAACGUGGGAAGUUUUAGUUGGUUUUAGUUUCAUUACAAUCAGAAAGACCUAAAUAGAUCUAUCACCACUGAAGCUAAAAUGAUUUAAAUAAAUCUGUUAGGGAAGAACAGAGAGGAGUAAUGGCCUGAAACUUUGCUUAAAACUGAAAACAAAGUAACAUGAAAUAAAAAUAGAAAGGAAGGAAAGGAGGACAGGGUGUGUGUGUGGGGGGGGGGGAUUGUAUUGAUUAGUAUUGAUUAGUAUCCCAUUUAUCUGCUGAAAAAAAU